rnacentral:rRNA from 1 species
UACGUAGGGUGCAAGCGUUUAUCCGGAAUCACUGGGCGUAAAGCGUGCGUAGGUGGGAAUUUAAGUGAGAUGUGAAAUCGUGUGGCUCAACCAUAUCGUUGUAUCUCAUACUGGGUUCCUAGAGGACGGCAGAGGCAAGUGGAACUAGCAGUGUAGCAGUGAAAUGCGUAGAUAUUGCUAAGAACACCAAUGGCGAAGGCAGCUUGCUGGGCCACUCCUGACACUGAGGUACGAAAGCGUGGGGAGCGAACAGG